GUGUUUGCUUUGACAGCACAUAUACUAAAACUGGAAUGAUACAGAGAAGAUUAUCAUGGCCCCAUGCAAGGAUGACAUGCAAAUUCGUGAAGCCUUCCAUAUUUUU